AUUGAACGCUGGCGGCAUGCUUAACACAUGCAGGUCGAACGGCAGCACAGUACGUAGCAAUACGUAUGGGUGGCGAGUGGCGGACGGGUGAGUAACGCGUAGGAAUCUGCCUUGAAGCGGGGGACAACCCGAGGAAACUCGGGCUAAUACCGCAUAAUAUCGAGAGAUUAAAGCUGGGGCAACCUGGCACUUCAAGAGGAGCCUGCGUACGAUUAGCUAGUUGGUAGGGUAAAGGCCUACCAAGGCGAUGAUCGUUAACUGGUCUGAGGGGAUGAUCAGUCACACUGGAACUGAGACACGGUCCGGACCCCUACGGGAGGCAGCAGUGGGGAAUAUUGGACAAUGGGGGCAACCCUGAUCCAGCAAUGCCGCGUGUGUGAAGAAGGCCUUCGGGUUGUAAAGCACUUUUGGCAGGGAGGAAGAUGUGGAGUUUAAGAGACACUACAUUUGACUGUACCUGCAGAAUAAGCACCGGCAAACUCUGUGCCAGCCGCCGCCGUAA
rnacentral:rRNA from 1 species